UACGUAGGGGACGAGCGUUGUCCGGAUUUAUUGGGCGUAAAGAGCUCGUAGGCGGUUUGGCAAGUCGGGUGUGAAAACUCCGGGCUCAACUCGGAGACGCCACUCGAUACUGCUAUGACUCGAGUCCGGUAGGGGAGUGCGGAAUUCCUGGUGUAGCGGUGAAAUGCGCAGAUAUCAGGAGGAACACCGGUGGCGAAGGCGGCACUCUGGGCCGGUACUGACGCUGAGGAGCGAAAGCGUGGGGAGCGAACAGG
rnacentral:rRNA from 1 species